rnacentral:siRNA from 1 species
AUUGUCAAUUGGUUUUGAGUUGGA